rnacentral:rRNA from 1 species
UGGGGAAUCUUGCACAAUGGGGGAAACCCUGAUGCAGCGACGCCGCGUGAACGAUGAAGCCCUUCGGGGUGUAAAGUUCUUUCGACAGGAACGAUAAUGACGGCACCUGGAGAAGAAGCUGCGGCUAACUACGUGCCAGCAGCCGCGGUAAUACGUAGGCAGCGAGCGUUGUUCGGAGUUACUGGGCGUAAAGAGUGCGUAGGCGGCGAGCCAAGUUUGGUGUGAAAUCUCCCGGCUUAACCGGGAGGGUGCGCCGAAAACUGGUUGGCUGGAGUAUGGGAGAGGAAAGCGGAAUUCCUGGUGUAGCGGUGAAAUGCGUAGAUAUCAGGAGGAACACCUGCGGUGUAGACAGCUUUCUGGACCAAAACUGACGCUGAGGCACGAAAGCGUGGGUAGCAAACA